AUGAAAUCCACUCUCCCCUACAAGGCGCUUCAUCGAGAGUCCUGGGCGUCGAUUGUAUCUGAUGAUGUUGUCUCAGCACCCCCAACCGAUGUGCUGCUACAGUCCACUUUAGCAACUCAGGCCAAGUUGCUGAUGCGUGUUGGGUGCUUUCUGGAGCGGGCGGAGGCGGCCCUGGACAAGCUCUCUCUUGUGUCGACUGUGUUGCAGUCCACUCCUACGUCGUGUCCUUCUAGUCAGGUUGAUGUUGUUGGUGGCUCAACGGAGAACAGGGAUGAAGAGCUCUAUGGUUGUUUCUCCCCUUGA
rnacentral:rRNA from 1 species